rnacentral:lncRNA from 1 species
CAGCACCACAAUCAGUGCCCUUACAGCUUUGAGCUGAAAUAGGCGAGAUCUACAUGACUGAGAGAAAUUUUUUUUAAUCAGGAUCAGGUUUGGGUUCUUCCAUUGCUGCAGCAUUGUGGUGGUGGUGUAGCAGACUUGUCACACUUAGUCAAUCUGCUUUUCUCUUACAGGAACCAUGGUGGGGCUGGAUUAAUAGCUGGACUUGAUCUAAGAUGCCUUCUCCAACCUGAAUGAUUCCAUGAGAACUGCAACACAUGCUGUCCUUUGUGCCCUGUGACUUCUGUGCAGGGGGAAAUUCUCUUACCAGUAAACUCUAAGAGAUGAAAGAAGAUCAUGGAGUGCACAGACUGCUGGAUUGGGGGAAAAAACAUAGCAGGUUGAACCCUUAUACCUUCUUAUCCCAUCAAUACACAGCCAUGAGCAAGUGAGAGAUAUUUCAGUGCAUCUUGCAGAAGAAUCACAGAGCAGCAAAGCUUUCAGGAGGCUGAAGGAAACAGGAGAAUCAAGAAACCCACAGUUCACCACAGUGCCCAGAAGAGAAAAAAACCCAAGAAAAAUCUCAACCCCUUCCAAAUCUGCAGGAGGUGUUUGAGAAAGUGAAGUUUACAUGGCACAGAAGACAACUCAAAGCUGAGAAAGGACAACUAAAUGCAAGAUUUAUGACUGUAAUGAGAGCGGUCAUACAGUUACAAGCCUCAGGCAUUAUAGUUCUGUGUAAAAAAUAUGGAUCUGUCUGAGGAAUAACAUGGAAGUAUAGCAAAGUAAAGCAAAUAGUAAAGCAAAGAAAAAAAAUAAACAAGCAACAAAUUGAUCA